ACCCUGUCAGAAAGCGAUGGCUAACUAUGUGCCAGCAGCCGCGGUAAUACAUAGGUCGCAAGCGUUAUCCGGAAUUAUUGGGCGUAAAGCGUUCGUAGGCUGUUUAUUAAGUCUGGAGUCAAAUCCCGGGGCUCAACCCUGGCUCGCUUUGGAUACUGGUAAACUAGAGUUAGAUAGAGGUAAGCGGAAUUCCAUGUGAAGCGGUGAAAUGCGUAGAUAUAUGGAAGAACACCAAAGGCGAAGGCAGCUUACUGG
rnacentral:rRNA from 1 species